rnacentral:rRNA from 1 species
CCUACGGGAUGCAGCAGUGAGGAAUAUUGGUCAAUGGCCGGAAGGCUGAACCAGCCAUGCCGCGUGAAGGUCAGUGCCCUAUGGGCGUUAAACUUCUUUUGUGCGGGAGCAAUCAUGGUCACGUGUGGCCAGACGAGAGUACCGUACGAAUAAGCAUCGGCUAACUCCGUGCAAGCAGCAGCGGUAAUACGGGGGAUGCAAGCGUUAUCCGGAUUUAUUGGGUUUAAAGGGUGCGUAGGCUGUGAGGUAAGUCAGCGGUGAAAUGCCCCCGCUCAACGGGGUGAAGUGCCAUUGAUACUGCCUGGCUGGAAUGCGGAUGCCGUGGGAGGAAGGUGUGGUGUAGCGGGGAAAUGCAGAGAGAUCAGACAGAACACCGAUUGCGAAGGCAUCUCACGAAUCCGCGAUUGACGCUGAUGCACGAAAGCGUGGGUAUCAAACAGGAUUAGAUACCCCAGUAGUC